AGAGUUUGAUCCUGGCUCAGGAUGAACGCUAGCGGCAGGCUUAACACAUGCAAGUCGAGGGGUAGUAGUAGCAAUACUAUGAGACCGGCAAACGGGUGCGGAACACGUACACAAUCUACCUUUAUCUGGGGCAUAGCCCGAAGAAAUUCGGAUUAAUUCCCCAUAAUAUAAUUGGAUGGCAUCAUUUGAUUAUUAAAACUCCGGUGGAUAGAGAUGAGUGUGCGUCCCAUUAGCUAGUUGGUAGGGUAACGGCCUACCAAGGCGACGAUGGGUAGCUGGUGUGAGAGCACGACCAGCCACACGGGCACUGAGACACGGGCCCGACUCCUACGGGAGGCAGCAGUGAGGAAUAUUGGUCAAUGGACGCAAGUCUGAACCAGCCAUGCCGCGUGAAGGAUGAAGGCCUUCUGGGUUGUAAACUUCUUUUAUGUGGGAAGAAAACUACGGUUUCUACUGUAGCCGACGGUACCAUAGGAAUAAGCACCGGCUAACUCCGUGCCGGCAGCCGCGGUAAUACGGAGGGUGCAAGCGUUAUCCGGAUUCACUGGGUUUAAAGGGUGUGUAGGCGGGCUGUUAAGUCAGUGGUGAAAUCUCCGGGCUCAACCCGGAAACUGCCAUUGAUACUAUCAGUCUUGAAUUCUGUUGAGGUGGGCGGAAUAUGUCAUGUAGCGGUGAAAUGCAUAGAUAUGACAUAGAACACCAAUUGCGAAGGCAGCUCACUAAGCAGCGAUUGACGCUGAGGCACGAAAGCGUGGGGAUCAAACAGGAUUAGAUACCCUGGUAGUCC
rnacentral:rRNA from 1 species